rnacentral:rRNA from 1 species
ACUCAAAUGAAUUGACGGGCACCCGCACAAGCGGUGGAGCAUGCUGUUUAAUUCGAAAAUACGCGAAGAACCUUACCUAGAUUUGACAUCCCGGGCAAAGCUAUAGAAAUAUAGUGGAGGCUAUCCCGGUGACAGAUGGUGCAUGGUUGUCGUCAGCUCGUGUCGUGAGAUGUUUGGUUAAGUCCAACAACGAGCGCAACCCCUAUUGCUAAUUGCUAACAUUAAGUUGAGAACCUUAGCAGGACUGCCGGUGUAAGCCGGAGGAAGGUGGGGAUGAGGUCAAAUCAUCAUGCCUCUUACAUCUAGGGCUACAGGCGUGCUACAAUGGCUGGUACAACGAGUCGCAACACAGUGAUGUGAAGCAAAUCUCUUAAAGCCAGUCUCAGUUCGGAUUGGAGUCUGCAACUCGACUCCAUGAAGUUGGAAUCGCUAGUAAUCCCGAAUCAGAAUGUCGGGGUGAAUACGUUCUCGGGUGUUGUACACACCGCCCGU